rnacentral:rRNA from 1 species
AGGCAGUGAUGUGAAGCAAAUCGCACCAAAGCCGGUCCCAGUUCGGAUAAGAGGCUGAAACUCGCCUCUUUGAAGUCGGAAUCGCUAGUAAUCGCAGAUCAGCAUGUUGCGGUGAAUACGUUCCCGGGUCUUGUACACACCGCCCGUCAAACCAUGAGAGUCACCAACACCGAAGUCCGUUUUGGCGGCCUAAGGUGGGGGAGAUGAUUGGGGUUAAGUCGUAACAAGGUACC